UACAGAGGGGGCAAGCGUUAUUCGGAAUUACUGGGCGUAAAGGGCGCGUAGGCGGCCUGUUAAGUCGAACGUGAAAUCCCCGGGCUCAACCCGGGAACUGCGUCCGAUACUGGCAGGCUUGAAUUCGGGAGAGGGAUGUGGAAUUCCAGGUGUAGCGGUGAAAUGCGUAGAUAUCUGGAGGAAUACCGGUGGCGAAGGCGGCAUCCUGGACCGGCAUUGACGCUGAGGAGCGAAAGCCAGGGGAGCAAACGGG
rnacentral:rRNA from 1 species